ACGCCCUCUCCCAAUAGUACUCCACUGUUUGUGCGCGACGCGGUUCUUCAGUGCGGAAGUGCAUCUCUUGUUUGUCUUGUGAUUUUUAAAGAUUUUCUCGCGAAUAAACUUGCGUUUUUACCGUAUUCAGCGCAGUGGAUUACUUUUAAUGCGUUUGUGACCCAGAAAUCGGCGAAUAUCGUGACCGGAGCCCGGAAUUUUAGCGAAGCCCUUGACACCACGUGGUCCACUUGAGAGCUGCACGAUCGGAUUGGUGCAUGUGUAACCGUUCCCCAGUUCUCCUGCAGAAGUUGCUAGUUCUACAAUCGAGCAAAGCGUCGAUAGGGGCAGCAGUUUCCUCGCAGAGAAGGCGACACCUGGCAUCGGAGGCCACAGCAGCAGCGAUGAAGUACAUUUUGGUAACCGGAGGCGUCAUCAGUGGCGUCGGCAAGGGCGUCAUCGCCAGCUCCUUCGGCACGCUGCUUAAUGCGUGCGGAAUCGGCGUCACAUCGAU